CAUGUGUUGGGGCAUUAGAUUGUGUUCUGAUUCGAACCGUGACCAAAUUAAGUGUUUAAGCGGGCAUGUACGUUCUUUGAACGUUUCGCUUGAUAAUUUAGCAUGGGACUCAUCUUCCUUGAAAAGGAUAAGAAAAAGGAGCCAGGAAGAGGACUCUGGUAUUGCGCGUUUAGAGGUGAAAUUCCGACAUCUUCGCAGGACGAACGGAGGCGUAGGCUGUCAUUGCCCAUCACAUCUCUAUUGAUCAGGAACGAAAGUCAGGGGAUCGAAGAUGAUUAGAUACCGUCGUAGUCCUGACCGUAAACGAUACUAACUCGAGUUUGUAUGUAACAGUAUUUUAUAAAAUUGAUACAGAAUCCAAGGGAAACCGUUAAGUCUUUGGGUUCUGGGGGGAGUAUAGUCGCAAGGCCGAAACUUAAAGGAAUUGACGGAAAGACACCACCAGGAGUGGAGUUUGCGGCUUAAUUCGACUCAACGCGGGAAAACUCACUAGGAUAGGACAGAAUGAGGAUUGACAGGUUGAAUAUGGUCCUUUCUUGAUUUUUUGGAAGGUGGUGCAUGGCCGUUCUUAGUUCGUGGAGUGAUCUGUCUACUUAAUUGUGUUAACGAACGAGACCUUAACCUGUUAACUAGGCACUAGUUGAACUUUUGUUCAUGGGUUUCUAACGAAAUCUAGGCUAUUCGGGUUACCGAGCUUCUUAAAGGGACAAUACUGUGUAUUUUAUAUUUUAGCGUAGGGAAGUUUAAGGCAAUAACAGGUCUGUGAUGCCCUGAGAUAUCCUAGGCGGCACGCGUACUACAAUGUCAUUGACAACAGGCUUUCUGCUUCUGCAGGCCUCUACCAAAAUGUAGGGGAAAACGUGUCAAACACUUAUAUGACUGGGAUAGCUGUUUGUAAUUACAUCUUAAACGAGGAAUUCCUAGUAAGCGCAAGUCAUUAUCUUGCAUUGAUUACGUCCCUGUCUUUUGUACACACCGCCCGUCGCUCCUACCGAUUGGAUAGCAAGGUGAACUUGAUGGACUCUAACGAGAAAAUUUAU
rnacentral:rRNA from 1 species